UGCCAAGAUAUUUAGUUUUAGGAAUUGAGGUUGUGGAAAUUAUUGAAUUGACAUAUUGGAGGAGGCAAUGACUUGCAUGAACACUCACUCAACCCUUCAUAUUCUUCUUCCUUCUUCCUCAAAUGGGAAGGGAACCCCAACUUUCUCUUUUUACUUUUUCCAAACUUUUUUUUGCUUUCCAUCUCCCCAUCCCAAUGGGUAACUGCUUAAAUUCUUCUGCUAAAGUUCAAAAUGCCCACACCUCCCAAGGAACUCACGAAAUCUGGUUAUGUUUUUAAAGGAUGGAUUGAUGAAAACAUGUGGGCUACAGCGAGGUUGGAAUUGGGAAUGGUUGUUGCAGUCAAGAAGCAUAAGCCUGAAGCUUCCCAAGGCCACAAAGAGUGGUCGACAGAGGUUAAUACUUGGGAAAAUUUCAUCAUCCAAAUCUAGUUAAGCUGAUUGGGUAUUGCUUGGAAGGCGAGAAUCGUUUGUUGGUAUACGAGUUUAUGCCGAGAGGGAGCUUGGAGAAUCAUCUCUUCAGAAAUGUAAUUCAACAAGGUCACAUGCUAAGUUCUGUUGUGCAACCUCUUUCUUGGGCAUUGAGGAUCAAAGUGGCAAUAGCUGCUGCCAGAGGGCUUUCCUUUCUCCAUGAAGCCGAAUUGCAUGUUAUCUAUCGCGAUUUUAAGGCAUCCAACAUCCUACUUGAUGCGGAAAGCAAAGCUUUCUGAUUUUGGUUUGUCGAAGGCUGGUCCAACGGGAGAUAGAACUCAUGUAACUACUCAAAUGUUAUAGGGAACACCCGUGGCUAUGCUGCACCUGAAUAUAUUGCUACAGGUUCGUAACAUACCCUAUAUUAUUGCACUUUUGCAAAGUGUUGGUGGUUUUCUCUUUUAUUUACACAAGCUGAAAUACGUGUUAGCGAAAUCUGAAAGGAUAAAGCAUUAUUUUUUAUAAGCCAUUUAGUCUUACAAUAUUUAACUUAUAAAUACUCCUUCAACCGAUGAAUUUGUUUGAUUUGUUAUCUAUGUUUUCAAAACCUAUGUCAAGGGUUUGAAAGCAAAAUGAGUAGACCCGGUUUGAUAACGGUUCAGUUUUUAGAAAAUGUACACGAAACAUAUUCCUUGCUUUUACACUACGCAAUAUCCAUUAUCCAUGUAAUAUAUUUCAUUGAGGUUUCUGCUUUA